CGGUGGCCGCAGAGAAUAGGCCCAAGCGACUGUUUACCAAAAACAUAGGUUUCUGCUAAGUCGCAAGACGAUGUAUAGGAGCUGACGCCUGCCCGGUGCUGGAAGGUUAAGGGGAUCUGUUAGAGCAAUCGAAGCAGUGAACUUAAGCCCCAGUAAACGGCGGCCGUAACUAUAACGGUCCUAAGGUAGCGAAAUUCCUUGUCGGGUAAGUUCCGACCCGCACGAAAGGCGUAACGAUUUGGGCACUGUCUCAACAACAGACUCGGUGAAAUUGUAAUUCCGGUGAAGAUGCCGGAUACCUGCGACAGGACGGAAAGACCCCAUGGAGCUUUACUGUAGCUUGACAUUGGGUCUUGGUACUACAUGUACAGGAUAGGUGGGAGGCUUUGAAACCAGGACGCCAGUUUUGGCGGAGCCAUCCUUGGGAUACCACCCUUGUAGUACUGGGACUCUAACCAUAGGCCAUGAAUCUGGUCUUGGGACACUGUCAGGUGGGCAGUUUGACUGGGGCGGUCGCCUCCCAAAAGGUAACGGAGGCGCUCAAAGGUUCUCUCAGUACGGUCGGAAAUCGUACGUAGAGUGUAAAGGCAAAAGAGAGCUUGAUUGCAAGACAUACAGGUCGAGCAAGGAUGAAAAUCGGACUUAGUGAUCCGGUGGUUCUGCGUGGAAGGGCCAUCGCUCAACGGAUAAAAGCUACCCUGGGGAUAACAGGCUUAUCUCCCCCAAGAGUCCACAUCGACGGGGAGGUUUGGCACCUCGAUGUCGGCUCAUCACAUCCUGGGGCUGUAGUAGGUCCCAAGGGUUGGGCUGUUCGCCCAUUAAAGUGGUACGCGAGCUGGGUUCAGAACGUCGUGAGACAGUUCGGUCCCUAUCCGUCGCAGGCGUAGGAAAUUUGAGAAGACCUGUCCUUAGUACGAGAGGACCGGGAUGGACGUACCUCUGGUGUACCAGUUGUUCUGCCAAGGGCAUGGCUGGGUAGCUAUGUACGGAAUGGAUAAGCGCUGAAAGCAUCUAAGCGCGAAGCCAACUUCAAGAUAAGAUUUCCCACCGCAAGGGUAAGACCCCAGAAAGACUAUCUGGUUGAUAGGUCGAAGGUGUAAGUGCAGCAAUGUAUUUAGCUUAUCGAUACUAAUAGGUCGAGGACUUGACCAA
rnacentral:rRNA from 1 species